rnacentral:lncRNA from 1 species
GUGAGGCUUCUUCAACAUGCGGCCAGUCUUUAGGCAUUGUUUCAGGCUUUUACUCUGAAAAAUGAGGGAGAUACAGCACUUUCAAUGAGUGGACAGUGGAGAUUUCCAGACAUGAGUCCAGCGCGUGAUCGGGAACGCGCCUUUCUUGUUUCUCCUUUUCUAUUGACGAAGCUUUUGUCCGGUUGAAAUAUUAUUUAUUAUUUAUGACAAAAACAACCUGAGGACUGAUUUUAAACAUCGUUUGACAUGUUUCUACUAACUUUUAUUGUACUUUUUUGACUUUUCGUCUUGAUGUUGAGAGCGCGCAUUGUGCCUUUGGAUUACUGAACUAAAUGCACCAACAAAACUGAGGUUUUUGGACAUAAAGAGGGACAUUAUCGAACAAAACAAACAUUUAUUGUCUAACAUGGAGACCUGGGAGUGCAACCAGAUGAAGAUCAUCAAAGGGGACGCGCUGCUGUAACUGGCAAGCUGCCUUUCCAGAACACGUGCUGAUGCUAUAACUAGUGAGACUGAAUGUCAACAAGGUCCAGGAGAAACAGGAGAGCUACCAGAGGAGAAUCAAGACCAAGUUCUUUGACAUCCGGGCGAAUGACUUGGUUUGGAAGAAGGACCAAAGAAAGGCGAGACCUGGGAAAACUUUCUGCUCUUUCGCUCCUAGCUGGGGUCACCAUCUAUUAAAUUAAGGAGCUAGGGGUUCAGCCUAACACCCAGAUGAGGAUCCACCUGAUGUCCUCCAUUACCAACCACCCUCCAACUUUUCAUUAUAUAAUCUACAGCUACUCUUAUUGGCAUUAUCUGCUAAGAAAGCUUGCUUGCUUUAUCAUACU